rnacentral:rRNA from 1 species
UACGUAGGGGGCAAGCGUUGUCCGGAUUUAUUGGGCGUAAAGAGCGUGUAGGCGGCCAUGUAGGUCCGUUGUGAAAACUCGAGGCUCAACCUCGAGACGCCGAUGGAAACCAUGUGACUAGAGUCCGGAAGAGGAGAGUGGAAUUCCUGGUGUAGCGGUGAAAUGCGCAGAUAUCAGGAAGAACACCCGUGGCUAAGGCGGCUCUCUAGUACGGUACUGACGCUGAGACGCGGAAGCGUGGGGAGCGAACAGG